CCUACGGGAGGCAGCAGUGGGGAAUAUUGCACAAUGGGGGAAACCCUGAUGCAGCGACGCCGCGUGAAGGAAGAAGUAUUUCGGUAUGUAAACUUCUAUCAGCAGGGAAGAAAAUGACGGUACCUGACUAAGAAGCCCCGGCUAACUACGUGCCAGCAGCCGCGGUAAUACGUAGGUGGCAAGCGUUGUCCGGAUUUACUGGGUGUAAAGGGCGUGUAGCCGGGCUGACAAGUCAGAUGUGAAAUCCGGGGGCUCAACCCCCGAACUGCAUUUGAAACUGUUGGUCUUGAGUAUCGGAGAGGCAG
rnacentral:rRNA from 1 species